GCCCCCGUCGUCUAAUGGUUAUGACGCCAGACUUCUAAGGUAUCUGGCGGUUGCGGGUUCGAGUCCCGCCGGGGGCU